UGAUAGAUCAGUCGAUAGAGCAUGAGACUCUUAAUCUCAUGGGGUCCUGGGUUCGAGCCCUACCUUGGGUAAAAA